GUAUCUUCGGAUAUGAGUAGAGCGGCGGACGGGUGAGUAACGCGUAGGAAUCUACCUAGUAGAAGGGGAUAGCCCGGGGAAACUCGGAUUAAUACCGUAUGCCUCCUUUGGGAGAAAGAGGGCCUCUCUUGAUGCUCUCGCUAUUAGAUGAGCCUGCGUAAGAUUAGCUUGUUGGUAAGGUAAUGGCUUACCAAGGCAACGAUCUUUAGCUGGUCUGAGAGGACGAUCAGCCACAUUGGGACUGAGACACGGCCCAGACUCCUACGGGAGGCAGCAGUGGGGAAUAUUGGACAAUGGGCGCAAGCCUGAUCCAGCCAUACCGCGUGUGUGAGGAAGGCCUUCGGGUUGUAAAGCACUUUAAGCAGGGAGAAAAAGUUAUAAGUUAAUACCUUAUAACCGUGAUGUUACCUGCAGAAUAAGCACCGGCUAAUUCCGUGCCAGCAGCCGCGGUAAUACGGAAGGUGCAAGCGUUAAUCGGAAUUACUGGGCGUAAAGCGCGCGUAGGUGGUUUGUUAAGUUGGAUGUGAAAGCCCUGGGCUCAACCUAGGAACUGCAUCCAAAACUAACUCACUAGAGUACGAUAGAGG
rnacentral:rRNA from 1 species